UUUUUUUUGAAAAGAUCAAAAUUGUAUAUUUCAAAAACACUGGAACUAGAUAUCAGAAAAACAUAAUGGGCAAUUAGACUGGAAGGAAUGUGUGAAACGGCAAGAGAGGACAUGUAAGGGUUUGCAAUGCCAAACAGAUACAAACAGUACAGUCAUAGACGUUUGAGCUGGCAAUCACUCUUUAGAUGCAAGCAUACGAAGAUGUUGGGUCUUGAAUUGGUUUUCCUUUCGCUCAAUUCGAAACAGUUGAAUGAGGGCUAUGGAACUGCAGAAGCACUCCAGAAUCACAAGGCAAAAUGGCACAAAUCAUGUCAAACAAAUUUUCAGACCUCAAAAUAUUU
rnacentral:lncRNA from 1 species